CCUUGAGUAGCUCCGCUCCUAUACAAUCGAAAUAACAGCGCACAAAACCCUUACUUCAAAUUCCAAUAACUAAUUUUCUUUUCAACAGGGGGGAAUACGCAAUUGCAUGCGCACACACUCGUAUUCUUAUAUUUGGAUUCUCAAUUUAAGUAGAUAAUCACGUAUUUAAUUCAGUAUAUUUGCUUGCUCAACCAAAAAAAUCAACUGUUCAGUUAUUUGGAAUACAUAAUCAAAGCAAAGCACAAUUAAUUCUUAGGAAAACACAAAACCCUUGCUUCAAAUUCCAAUAACUAAUUUGCUUUUCAACAGGGGGGCAUACGCACUUACAUGCGCACACAAGUGUAUUCUUCUAUUUGGAGUCUUAAUUUAAUUCAGUAUAUUUGCUUGCUCAACCAACAAAAUUCAACUUUUCAGUUAUUUGGAAUACAUAAUCAAAACAAAGCAAAAUUAAUUCUUAGGAAAACAAAUUCAAUUCAUCUUCUUGUAACCAAACAAAUCAGAACCCAAAUCGUCCAUAAACUUCAGCCACGGCCCCUAUGUCUUUCAAUAUUUUAGUCAAAAGUUCUCUUAAUUUUUAGAGUAUUAUGAAUUAAAAACUAAAUCAAAGCAAGGCAAAAAAAAAAUC